rnacentral:lncRNA from 10 species
GCCUGAAGUGACAGAGAUUGAAAGACUGGGGACUAGGAGGUCUAAGGUAGCGGCAUGUGGAUGGGCAUGUUCAAGGCGCCAUGUUGAAGAUCUUCAUGUCAUUCCUUAAUGACCACCAGAUAUCAUCCUCCAGGGAAAGGACACUCAAAAACCGUCAAAACAAAAGAAGCCAGGGAGUUGACAUUAGCCAUUAGUGUCUGAAUGACAUGGCCAUGGUGGCAGAGGUGGAGGUCCUGCCUGGGUCCAACAACAUGGGCUCUCACUCACCGGGACCGACUUCUGCUACUGCUAUGUUCAACCUGCCAGCAACAGAGACUAAUGCGGAGACUCCAAAAUGGCAUGAUACCUCAAGGAGACCAACUGGACACUUGAAGGUCUCAUAUGGGCUCACGUGCUCUGCUUGAGCUCCUCUUUCCUGUGUCACCAUCUAAAAAGUAUCCUUGGUCAGAAAGCUUAAUACCUCCUCUGAAGACUGAUAAUAUACAUCAUCUUCCUGGACCAGUCUACAAGUGAGGGACAGUGAAUAUUUUGAAUGGCAGCUUUUAGGUAAGCAGAGAAUAUGCAAUGGGGGUGCAUAAAUAAGUUUCCUGGAAGCCAUUUG